CANCAGUAGGNAUUCUUCCCCAAUGGANNAAAUUUCNGAGGGANCANCNCCGCGUGAACGAANAAGUCUUUNGGNUNGNAAAGUUCNGUUNUUAGGNAAGANCAAGUCCCAGAGUAACUGNUGGUACCUUGACGGUACCUAACCAGAAAGCCACGGCUAACUACGUGCCAGCAGCCGCGGUAAUACGUAGGUGGCAAGCGUUGUCCGGAAUUAUUGGGCGUAAAGCGCNCGCAGGUGGUUCCUUAAGUCUGAUGUGAAAGCCCCCGGCUCAACCGNGGAGGGUCAUUGGAAACUGGGGAACUUGAGUGCAGAAGAGGAAAGUGGAAUUCCAAGUGUAGCGGUGAAAUGCGUAGAGAUUUGGAGGAACACCAGUGGCGAAGGCGACUUUCUGGUCUGUAACUGACACUGAGGCGCGAAAGCGUGGGGAGCAAACAGGAUUAGAUACCCUGGUAGUCCACGCCGUAAACGAUGAGUGCUAAGUGUUAGAGGGUUUCCCGCCCUUUAGUGCUGCAGCUAACGCAUUAAGCACU
rnacentral:rRNA from 1 species